rnacentral:rRNA from 1 species
GAUGAACGCUGGCGGCGUGCCUAAUACAUGCAAGUCGAGCGAACAGACGAGGAGCUUGCUCCUCUGACGUUAGCGGCGGACGGGUGAGUAACACGUGGAUAACCUACCUAUAUGACUGGGAUAACUUCGGGAAACCGGAGCUAAUACCGGAUAAUAUAUUGAACCGCAUGGUUCAAUAGUGAAAGACGGUUUUGCUGUCACUUAUAGAUGGAUCCGCGCCGCAUUAGCUAGUUGGUAAGGUAACGGCUUACCAAGGCAACGAUGCGUAGCUGACCUGAGAGGGUGAUCGGCCACACUGGAACUGAGACACGGUCCAGACUCCUACGGGAGGCAGCAGUAGGGAAUCUUCCGCAAUGGGCGAAAGCCUGACGGAGCAACGCCGCGUGAGUGAAGAAGGUCUUCGGAUCGUAAAACUCUGUUAUUAGGGAAGAACAAAUGUGUAAGUAACUAUGCACGUCUUGACGGUACCUAAUCAGAAAGCCACGGCUAACUACGUG